GAAUUUUGUUCAACGGGCGAAAGCCUGAUCCAGCAAUGCCGCGUCCAGGAUGAAGGCCUUCGGGUUGUCAACUGCCUCUGUACGGAAUGAAAAGCUUUGGGUUAAUACCCCGGAGUCUUGAUGGUACCGUCAGAAUAAGAACCGGCUAACUACGUGACAGCAGCCGCGGUACUACGUAGGGUGCAAGCGUUAAUCGCAAUUACUGGGCGUAAGGCGUGCGCAGGCGGUUUUGUAAGACAGAGGUGAAAUCCCCGGGCUCAACCUGGGAACUGCCUUUGUGACUGCAAGGCUAGAGUACGGCAGAGAGGGGUGGAAUUCAGCGGGUAGCAGUGAAAUGCGUAGAUAUGCGGAGGAACACCGAUGGCGAAGGCAACCCCCUGGGCCUGUACUGACGCUCAUGCACGAAAGCGUGGGGAGCAAACA
rnacentral:rRNA from 1 species